rnacentral:misc_RNA from 1 species
UGAGUCUGAGAUGCUUCCGAAAUUGUCCUUUGGUGGAACUGUUGUAGUGGAUCAACUUUUUCCAGAACCGCAGAGCAUUUUGGAUCAGAUAACUCCAUCAAAUAAGAAUGAGUAUCCCAAAGUGUUAGAAGGGCACGAUGAUAGCAUAUCAUGUGUUAGUAGAGCCAAUGAUGCAAGUAUAACAGUAAUUCAUCAUAACAGGAACGUAGACAGGAAGAAUUUAUCAUGUAGUUCAGCUUUAGUUGGUAGUUUAGGAUCAGAGGGAACUGAAAAAGCACCAAUUUCGCCCGAGUCAGAGUUGUUAGAGACACCUUCAAAUGAUGCAUAUGCUGGCAAUAGCUCACUGAAUGUCCACAGCAGGUGUCUGUCCACCUCAAAUGGAACACAGUUGGAAGAAGAUAGAAAGUUAGGUACUUCUAUGGUUUCAAGUCAACUUGCAGAAGGAACUGGAAAGGCACUAAUUUUGCCGAAGUCAGAGUUGUUAGGGACACCUUCAAAUGAUGCAUAUGCUGGCAGUAGCUCACAGAAGGUCCAGAGCAGGUGUCUCUCAUCCACUGCCGAUGGAAGAGAUUUUGAAGAAGAUACUAAGUUUGAUUCUUCGAAGGUUUCAAGCCAACUUUUGGAAGGAACUGGAAAGGCACUAAUUUUUCCUAAGGCAGAGUUAUUAGAGAUACCUUCAAAUGAUGUAUAUGCUGGCAGUAGCUCACUGAAGGUCCAGAGCAGGUGCCUAUCCUCCACCACUAAUGGAACUCAGUUGGAAGAAGAUACAAAGUUUGAUACUUCCAAGGUUUCAAGUAAAGUUUGUACAAAGGUAGAAGAAGGUACUAAAAAAGAUAGAGGAGACCGAAUGAAUGAAGGUUUUAAAUGUGCCAACCAAGUUGAAGCAAAUGAGAAGUCAAAUGAGUCAGUUGAAUUAACUGAUAUGCGGGAGCCUGGUUUGCAAUCUGUAUCCGGGGAUGAAAGUGAUGAGUCAGAAAUUGAGGAACAUGAUGUAAAAGUAUGUGAUAUUU